UGCCUAAACCAAGCUUUCGCUUGGCAUGGCUAAAAGUCGGAUCACGCAUAAAAAACCCAUCAUGGGGUCGCGUGAUCCGCCAUAUCGGGAAACCGGUAUGAGUGGCUUCGGCCACU
rnacentral:sRNA from 12 species